rnacentral:rRNA from 1 species
GCCGUAAAACCCCCCAUUUUUUCUGGUUGACCUCGGAUCAGGUAGGAAUACCCG